rnacentral:rRNA from 1 species
UUGGAGGGCAAGUCUGGUGCCAGCAGCCGCGGUAAUUCCAGCUCCAAUAGCGUAUAUUAAAGUUGUUGCAGUUAAAAAGCUCGUAGUUGAAUUUUGGGUCUGGCCGGGCGGUCCGCCCUCCGGGUGAGCACUGUUCCGACGCCGGGCCUAUCCUUCUGGUGAGUCGGCAUGUCCUUUGUUGGGUGUGUCGGGGAACCAGGACCAUUACCUUGAAAAAAUUAGAGUGUUCAAAGCAGGCGUAUGCUCGGAUACAUUAGCAUGGAAUAAUGAAAUAGGACGCGUGGUGCUAUUUUGUUGGUUUCUAGAACCGCCGUAAUGAUUAAUAGGGAUAGUUGGGGGCAUUAGUAUUCAAUUGUCAGAGGUGGAAUUCUUGGAUCUAUUGAAGACUAACUUCUGCGAAAGCAUUUGCCAAGGAUGUUUUCAUUAAUCAAGAACGAAAGUUAGGGGAUCGAAGACGAUCAGAUACCGUCGUAGUCUUAACCAUAAACUAUGCCGACUAGGAAUCGGGCGAUGUUAUUCUCAUGACUCGCCCGGCGCCUUAUGGGAAAC